rnacentral:rRNA from 1 species
UGAGUAACACGUGGGUGAUCUGCCCUGCANUUCGGGAUAAGCCUGGGAAACUGGGUCUAAUACCGGAUAGGACCACNGGAUGCAUGUCCUGNGGUGGAAAGCUUNUGCGNUGUGGGAUGGGCNCNCGGCCUAUCAGCUUGUUGGUGGGGUGACGGCCUACCAAGGCGACGACNGGUAGCCNGCCUGAGAGGGUGUCCGNCCACACUGGGACUGAGAUACGGCCCAGACUCCUACGGGAGGCAGCAGUGGGGAAUANUGCACAAUGGGCGCAAGCCUGAUGCAGCGACGCCNCGUGGGGGAUGACGGCCUUCGGGUUGUAAACCUCUUUCACCAUCNANNAANGUCCGGGUUUUCUCGGAUUGACGGUAGGUGGAGAAGAAGCACCGGCCAACUACGUGCCAGCAGCCGCGGUAAUACGUAGGGUGCGAGCGUUGUCCGGAAUUACUGGGCGUAAAGAGCUCGUAGGUGGUUUGUCGCGUUGUUCGUGAAAUCUCACGGCUUAACUGUGAGCGUGCGGGCGAUACGGGCAGACUGGAGUACUGCAGGGGAGACUGGAAUUCCUGGUGUAGCGGUGGAAUGCGCAGAUAUCAGGAGGAACACCGGUGGCGAAGGCGGGUCUCUGGGCAGUAACUGACGCUGAGGAGCGAAAGCGUGGGGAGCGAACAGGAUUAGAUACCCCUGGUAGUCCACGCCGUAAACGGUGGGUACUAGGUGUGGGUUUCCUUCCUUGGGAUCCGUGCCGUAGCUAACGCAUUAAGUACCCCGCCUGGGGAGUACGGCCGCAAGGCUAAAACUCAAAGGAAUUGNCGGGGGCCCGCACAA